UGAACAGAUUUUACUGUUCAUGCGGAUUUACGAGCAAUUAAUUCAAAAGUUUUCGUGUUCGUUUGCGGUGAAUUGCAGGGAUGGAAAAGCGCUGAAUUGCGGGAUUGCACUGUCCAGACCAUCCUCACUAUUAGAAGAAGAUUUGCGCUGAUUUACCCUCAAAUGACUGAAAUACCCUGUACGAUUAUUAAAAUUACAACCCAAUAUCUUCAGCCCCCAUAUUCGAUUCUUAAGUUUAAAAACCGAUUCCAAGAAGCAAC
rnacentral:lncRNA from 1 species